UACGUAGGGGGCAAGCGUUGUCCGGAAUCAUUGGGCGUAAAGAGCUCGUAGGCGGUCUGUUGCGUCGGCUGUGAAAACCCGGGGCUCAACUCCGGGCCUGCAGCCGAUACGGGCAGACUAGAGUUCGGCAGGGGAGACUGGAAUUCCUGGUGUAGCGGUGAAAUGCGCAGAUAUCAGGAGGAACACCGGUGGCGAAGGCGGGUCACUGGCCCGAUACUGACGCUGAGGCACGAAAGCGUGGGGAGCAAACAGG
rnacentral:rRNA from 1 species